rnacentral:rRNA from 1 species
AACGAACGCUGGCGGUAUGCUUAACACAUGCAAGUCGAACGAACAAAAUUGGGGCUUGCUCCAAUUUUAGUGAGUGGCAAACGGGUGAGUAACACGUGGGAAUCUACCUAUCAGUACGGAAUAACAUCUGGAAACAGAUGCUAAUACCGUAUAUUCUCCAAGGAGGAAAGAUUUAUCGCUGAUAGAUGAGCCCGCGUAAGAUUAGGUAGUUGGUAGGGUAAUGGCCUACCAAGCCGACGAUCUUUAGCUGGUCUGAGAGGAUGAUCAGCCACACUGGGACUGAGACACGGCCCAGACUCCUACGGGAGGCAGCAGUGGGGAAUAUUGGACAAUGGGCGAAAGCCUGAUCCAGCAAUACCGCGUGAAUGAUGAAGGCCUUAGGGUUGUAAAGUUCUUUUAGUUGGAAAGAUAAUGACGGUACCAACAGAAAAGACCCCGGCUAACUCCGUGCCAGCAGCCGCGGUAAGGUCGUCAUGU